rnacentral:lncRNA from 1 species
CUGACGUGUGAGUCGAUUGGUCCGCCCAUUGGGGCCUGACUCGUCCUCGCCCACGGCCCACAGCUAGAUGGCCGCACGGUUUUACGACAAGCAUCAUCAUGAACAGGGACCGCACGUAGACGGUGGCCCGGGCCCAGAUGGAGGAGGACCACCGCUUGGCCAGACCAACGCAUCGCAUCGCAUCGCAUCGCAAACAUGGGUGG